rnacentral:rRNA from 2 species
UAUAACAGCGGAGAGUUUGAUCCUGGCUCAGGAUGAACGCUAGCGGCAGGCUUAACACAUGCAAGUCGAGGGGCAGCGGGAGGAAAGCUUGCUUUCCUUGCCGGCGACCGGCGCACGGGUGAGUAACACGUAUGCAACCUGCCCUCUUCAGGGGGACAACCUUCCGAAAGGGAGGCUAAUCCCGCGUAUAUCGGUUUCGGGCAUCCGAGAU